CGAGCGAGAAGGAUUUCAAAGUUUACUUUGGAAUCUGGAAAGCGGCGCAAGGGAGAGUAACGCGUAGUUAUCUACCCCAAGGCCCGGAAUAGCUGCGGGAAACUGCAGGUAAUGCCGGAUAAUAUCCCCGGAUCAAAGGUGUGAUUCCGCCUUGGGAGGAGACUGCGUUGUACUAGCUUGUUGGUAGGGUAAUGGCCUACCAAGGCUACGAUGCAUAGCGGGCGUGAGAGCGUGGCCCGUCUCACUGGGACUGAAACACUGCCCAGACACCUACGGGUGGCUGCAGUCGAGAAUCUUCGGCAAUGGGCGAAAGCCUGACCGAGCAAUGCCGCGUGCGGGAUGAAGGCCCUCGGGUUGCAAACCGCUGUCGUAGGGGAGAAAGGUCUCAUGAAGAAUGAGAUUUGAUCUAUCCUAGGAGGAAGUCCGGGCUAAGUUCGUGCCAGCAGCCGCGGUAACACGAACCGGACAAACGUUAUUCGGAAUUAUUGGGCUUAAAGGGUGCGUAGGCGGUGCGGUAAGUGAGGUGUGAAAGCCCUCGGCUCAACCGAGGAAUUGCGCUUCAUACUGCCGUGCUAGAGGGAGACAGAGGUAAGCGGAACUGAUGGUGGAGCGGUGAAAUGCGUUGAUAUCAUCAGGAACACCGGUGGCGAAAGCGGCUUACUGGGUCUCUUCUGACGCUGAGGCACGAAAGCUAGGGUAG
rnacentral:rRNA from 1 species